rnacentral:rRNA from 1 species
GACAGAGGGGGCAAGCGUUGCUCGGAAUUACUGGGCGUAAAGGGCGCGUAGGCGGUCUUGUAAGUCUUGUGUGAAAUCCCUCGGCUCAACUGAGGAACUGCACGGGAUACUGCGAGACUUGAGUUCGGGAGAGGGAAGCGGAAUUCCGGGUGUAGCGGUGAAAUGCGUAGAUAUCCGGAGGAACACCGGUGGCGAAGGCGGCUUCCUGGACCGAUUACUGACGCUGAGGCGCGAAAGCUAGGGGAGCAAACGGG